rnacentral:rRNA from 1 species
CGAAACCGAUAGCGAACAAGUACCGUGAGGGAAAGUUGAAAAGUACUCUGAAUAGAGAGUUAAAUAGUACGUGAAACCGCUUAGGGGUUAAGCCCGAUGAACCCGAAUAUCUGAUGUGAGAAAUUCAAUACAAUUCAAAUUCAUAUUUUUAUAUUGGAUUUGUAUAGUAUGCACUUUUCUCAUAGUAAGACAUUGUAAUCCAUUGAUAUUAUAUCUCAUUAUGAGAUGAUUUAACAUACGGACAAAAUGUUUAUGAUUAUUCUAUCAGUGAUAUGUUUACAUGUCAUAUGAAUAAAAUCGUUUUGUUUCCUGUUUAAAUAGUCGAUGGAUUUUUCAUUGAAAUCAUGUUUGCAAUUUAUUUUGCGUUUCGUAUCAUUAAUUUUUAAUUUUUGGUAGCAGAAAUGGCAUGUAUUCGAUUAACAAUGCGAUAGAUUUGGGAUACUUUCAGGACCCGUCUUGA